CAGUAGCCACGGUAAAACGAAGGGUGCAAGCGUUACUCGGAAUUACUGGGCGUAAAGCGUGCGUAGGUGGUGGUUUAAGUCCGUUGUGAAAGCCCUGGGCUCAACCUGGGAAUUGCAGUGGAUACUGGGUCACUAGAGUGUGGUAGAGGAUAGUGGAAUUUCCGGUGUAGCAGUGAAAUGCGUAGAGAUCGGAAGGAACAUCUGUGGCGAAGGCGACUAUCUGGGCCAACACUGACACUGAGGCACGAAAGCGUGGGGAGCAAACAGGAUUAGAUACCCCGGUAGUCCCUGUCUCUUAUAC
rnacentral:rRNA from 1 species